rnacentral:snoRNA from 1 species
AGGUAAUAUUCAAGGCUUUUAGAAUGUAGUUUCUAAUUUACUAUGGAAUUAACCAUUAAAAAAACCCAAACAAAC